rnacentral:rRNA from 1 species
UGUGUCCUACGGGGCGCAGCAGUGGGGAAUAUUGCACAAUGGGGGAAACCCUGAUGCAGCGACGCCGCGUGGGUGAAGGAGCGUUUCGGCGCGUAAAGCCCUAUCGGCAGGGAAGAAGGAGGACGGUACCUGACUAAGAAGCCCCGGCUAACUACGUGCCAGCAGCCGCGGUAAUACGUAGGGGGCAAGCGUUAUCCGGAUUUACUGGGUGUAAAGGGGGCGCAGACGGCAGCGCAAGCCAGGAGUGAAAGCCCGGGGCCCAACCCCGGGACUGCUCCUGGAACUGCG